AUGGAACUGGACUCUUCUCUUCAAGCGGUAGACGGUGCUACCCAAAACCAAGCACAGCAGUUUUUCGAAAAAGAGCUGCCUCUUAAUGUCUGCGACCGAAAGGAUCCAAAAGACCUCACCUGUGAUGUUACCCAACAAGAAACCUUUGAGAUUUUGGACUCAGUUGAUGAUCAGACGGCAAUAGACGAUGAAACUUCUGGUGCUCAGAUUUCUAAAGAAGACAUCGGGCGAAUAGAUAAAGAGGAAGAUACCUCUCGGAGUGGUCUGAGGACCAGACAGGACAGGACAGAAACGAGUAGAAAGAUAGUGUAUGAAAUGGAUUCUGUUGAAGAUGAACCGGUUCAAGAUGCGACCACCACAGAAAGGUCUGUCAGAAGACGAAGUCAGAGAGGAAAGAAGGAGGAUAAAACUGAAGUAUCUGAAAAACCAUACGGAGAUGCGGAAGCUUCGUUUGAAGUUUUGGACUCUGUGGAAGAUGAGACUGCGACUGAAGAACCAACUACGACGACAUCGACCAGAGGAAGAAGGGAAAGAACAAGUAAGAAAGAUUCUCAGGUCAACAAAACAAAGGAAGAGGACACGCCGACGAGAAGGAGACGCACUCCUGCCAGAGAAUCACAGGAAGCAAAGAAGAGUGACAUCACUGUACGAGAGUCAAGGGACGAGGAUGCUACCUAUGAAAUAUUAGACUCUGUGGAGGACGAGGAGGUUGUGAAGGACGACCGGCCUGCUACAGGAGGAAGAGGGAAACGGAAAAGACCAAAGAAAGCGGUUAAAGCAACUAAAAAUGAGACUGUCACACUGAAGAAGGGCGACAAAGACAAAGAGGCUGACGAAGAAGAGGUGUUGUUUCAGAUUCUUGAUUCUGUGGAGGAUGAGAUGGUUGACGACCAUCCUUCCACAGAACAGUCUGUCAGCGCGAGAAAGAAGAAAACAUCCAAAAACGAUAAGCUGGUGGAGCAAAGCUCAUCUCUCUCAGGAUCACCCAGAAACGAGGAGGAGGAGGAGCCGGUCUAUCAGAUCGUGAUUCUGUGGAAGAUGAUCAAGAAGAGUCGGUGA
rnacentral:lncRNA from 1 species